rnacentral:rRNA from 1 species
GACGAACGCUGGCGGCGUGCUUAACACAUGCCAGUCGAACGGAAAGGCCCUGCUUUUGUGGGGUGCUCGAGUGGCGAACGGGUGAGUAACACGUGAGUAACCUGCCCUUGACUUUGGGAUAACUUCAGGAAACUGGGGCUAAUACCGGAUAGGAGCUCCUGCUGCAUGGUGGGGGUUGGAAAGUUUCGGCGGUUGGGGAUGGACUCGCGGCUUAUCAGCUUGUUGGUGGGGUAGUGGCUUACCAAGGCUUUGACGGGUAGCCGGCCUGAGAGGGGGACCGGCCACAUUGGGACUGAGAUACGGCCCAGACUCCUACGGGAGGCAGCAGUGGGGAAGAUUGCACAAUGGGCGGAAGCCUGAUGCAGCAACGCCGCGUGCGGGAUGACGGCCUUCGGGUUGUAAACCGCUUUCGCCUGUGACGAAGCGUGAGUGACGGUAAUGGGUAAAGAAGCACCGGCUAACUACGUG